UACGGAGGAUGCGAGCGUUAUCCGGAUUUAUUGGGUUUAAAGGGCGCGUAGGCGGACUGGAAAGUCAGCGGUAAAAUCGAGAGGCUCAACCUCUUUCCGCCGUUGAAACUGUCGGUCUUGAGUGGGCGAGAAGUAUGCGGAAUGCGUGGUGUAGCGGUGAAAUGCAUAGAUAUCACGCAGAACUCCGAUUGCGAAGGCAGCAUACCGGCGCCCGACUGACGCUGAGGCACGAAAGCGUGGGUAUCGAACAGG
rnacentral:rRNA from 1 species